GAUGAAGAACGUAGCGAAAUGCGAUACUUGGUGUGAAUUGCAGAAUCCCGUGAACCAUCGAGUCUUUGAACGCAAGUUGCGCCCGAAGCCAUCAGGUUGAGGGCACGUCUGCCUGGGCGUCACAUAUCGUUGCUCGAUGCCUAUCGCAUUGCGAUAGGACUUAGGGCGAAUGAUGGCUUCCCGUGAGCGUUGUUGCCUCGCGGUUGGUUGAAAAUCGAGUCCUUGGUAGGGUGUGCCAUGAUAGAUGGUGGUCGAGUUAGCACGAUACCGAUCAUGUGCAUGCUCCCCAAAAUAUGGCCUCUGUGACCCACACACGUCUUUUGACGCUCAUGACGAGACCUCAGGUCAGGCGGGGCUACCCGCUGAAUUUAAGCAUAUCAAUAAGCGGAGGA
rnacentral:misc_RNA from 1 species